UAAGGAGGAGAAGUAAAGCUAGACUAGAAGGAAAUAGCAUGAGCUGUAAAGCUCAUUAAAAUAAAAGCUAGAGUUGGCAUUUUAUUAGAAUGCUAGCCUAAAUAACUCAGCUAGCCUACAAACGUAUUAACCAAGUAUCAGAACUCAGAUAUCUCAUAACCCUUCUUCAGUUCAUUCUAAAUUGCUAAGCUCCUUCAUUCCAUCCUCAUCCCUGUCCAGUUUCAGCUGAGUUCCCCUUGCUAGUCCAGUUCAACUCAUUCGGGUAUAAGCAAGAUCAAGGUAUACUAAUAUAUGUUAUGUUUAGUUUCUAUAAUAAACAUGAGAUUAUUGUUUUUCCUGAUUGAGAAUUUAAAAUAUAAACUUUAGAUAUGAAGCAUGGAUAACAGGAAUUGAGGUGAAUAUAAAUAUGGGAAAUCAAAGAAAUAAAAACUUUGCAAAGUUAUGUAAACAGUGGUAUCUAAGGUUAAUAGCUUACAUAGCUUUUGUUAAGUUUUUGGACUUCUAUUUUUUGAAAUAGAGCAAAUGAGUUUAGGUUCAUUGUGCGGAGGUAUAAGGAAGCUAAAAGGGGAUGAAAGUAUAAAUAAAUGGCUAUGAAAUGGGUGUUUCAAAGCAGUGCACACAUGUUGUUUGUUAAAAGUCCCAUAUGGACUAUUUUAGCUAAAAUUCCAGAAUUUAGUAAAGUCAAAGUUAAGAUUUCAUGUAUAAGCACUUUAUACAUUUAGUUAAAGGGUUUGAACGAAUUAAAUUGAUGUGAAAGGCGAUUUUAAGCCAAAGUGAAAAUUCCAAAAAUUUGAAUGACAAGCCAUUUAUGAGCCCUGUUUUGGGCAGCUCAAAAAACUCAAAGUAAAAGUCUAAUAUUUUUUAAAAAUAGGCUGCUAUGAUAUCUAAAUCAUAUUGAAAAUUUGGUACAAACAAAUUAAUGUACUAACAGUUACAAAAAUUCAAAAAGGGAAGGUUGAGAUGGGGCUGGGGCUGGCCUGACUGGGCUGCUACAGACAGCAGCAGCCGUCGCCCAGCGUUGUGUUACAGGGACAACUAGGUGUUUUUCUUUAUUUUGUUUUGUUUUGGCAAGCUAUUGGGUUCGUAUAGAUUAUGUAUUUCUGUAACUUGUAAGUUAUUUUAAUAAGGGGUGUACCACCUCUAAUUUACUAAAAGAUCAUUGUAGGAAAUAAAAGGGCAAAGGUCUAAAAAUGCCCCUGACGUUUACACCGAUGUUCCACUUACACCUUAAACUAAUUUUUUUCCAAAAGUAUCCUUAACGUUACAAGAAUUAGGUCAUCCGUGCCCCUCCCGUUAACGAAUCUGCCACAUUAACAAACAGAGCUGACACCUCAUCUAAUUUUGCUGACUAGGCUGAAAAGAAAAACUUAACUCUUAAUUAAAACAACUCUUUUUUCAAAGAGAGACCCACAUAACAAAUCAUGAGAGAGAGAGAGCUUUAGAUGUAUGUAUUUUGUAUGUAUACACACACAACUCCUUUUUCAGAUCUGAUGUAUUUGUUCGUGAGACAUACAAAAGUAUUAAUUGAUUUGAUGCUUGAAGAUCUUUUUAGAUCUGAUGUAUUUGAUGAUCCUUCAACCCGACAACAAAAACCCAUUCCACAAACUCAUCUAUGUUCUCAUCAACCAAACAGAAGAUACCAGAAGACCUUGUUCGACUCUAUAAUUUUUUUUUAUCAUUGUUCUGAUACUAGGUAGUUACUUGCUAGAGUAAUUUUACUUUGAUACUAAUAAAUUCGUUACUCUGUUUUUGACGUUCAGGUAUUGGAUGGAAAUGGAGUCUCCAAGUGUUUUGAUGACAUAUAUCCUUUUAUUUAUAGUGUGGUUAAUAUCAUAAUACGAAAGUAGUACAACUAACUGUUAAAAAAAAUCCCUAACGAUAUCUACGAUUCUUGGUUUUGGAAUUAAUAUAGUUUUCGCCGUCGUUUUUGCUGCACUUGGAAUUACAAAAAGGAAUGCAAAAGAAAGUAUGAGAGUAGGUUGUCAGGAAUAAACAUGUGAAUGAUAUUUCUAUUUAAUAUAUGAUUUGAUUAUGAUAUAUAUGUGAAUGAAUAUGCAAGUAUGCUUGCAUUAAGAAAAGAUGUAAAGUCCUUUGAUAAAUAAUAAAAAUAUAUGUACAAGGACUUAGAAUGAAUUGAUCAAAUAUGUUAGGUUGAUCCUACAUAAGCAAAAUAACUUUGUAAAGUCCUUAAAAAGAAAUGAUGUACAAGGACUAUAAAUAUAGAAAGAUCAAGCUUGUUAGGUUGAUCUUAUGAUGUAAUAGAUAGGCUUGUCUGAUCGUCGAGCACUGCACCAGAAGUCGUAGUCUGCCAGAAGAGUCAAGAUUAACUCGAGAGCUAUCGAGGCAGAAUAGGAGUAUGCAAGAUAGUAGAUCUCAGAGUUUGUAGACUGCCAGGGGAAACGAAGAAGAACCGUAGUUUGUCGAGUAGAGCUUCCUCGAGAUCGUAGUAUGCUUAGGAAGUCAUGUUCAGAAUCGUAGAGACAGCCUACCUACGAGCAGACCGAUCAUCUGCCAAAGCCAAGACAGAAACAUAGACUACACUCAGAGUCGUAGAGUCUACUGAUGCCGAAGCCAAGUCAAGGAUCGUAGAUCACACUCUGAGUUCGUAGAGUCUAUUGAUUACAUGCAGAGAUUGUAGUCAAACAAGAUCAGAUGAAGACAUCAAGCACAAGGCAGAAAUCGUAGAGUGUCAAGAUCUGAUCUCAGGAUCGUAGUGUUUGCACCAGCCGAAGCUGAAUCGUAGAUUGCAGAACUACGAUCUCAACAGAAGUGCUCACAAUGCCAAGGCAGAAUCGUAAAGCAUAUACGGUUCUCAACAAAUGAGCACUCCCAGAAUAUCCAAAGGAAUGAAGCCUCUGGUUGGCACUGCAAAGAUGCAUUCCACCUUAAGGGAACCAGAGAACACUCAACGAAUGGCAUGCAGGCUAGCAGAAGAUCUAAGCACCAACCCAAUCAGCAUCAAGAUUGAGUUGUAAGGCCAUUCGUAGUGUUUGCCAAAUAAAGAAAGAACUGAUGGAAGGUGAACCGAGAUACUGGUCAGCCUCUGAAGAACAAGGCUAAAGUGAUUAAGUGCAGGGUCAGUUCAUUGAUGAUAAGUGAACGGGAGAUCACAAGGAGAAAGCAAGCUGGACGCGCCACAAAUCUGAAGUGUUGAUAUUCAGAAGGGGACAAGAGCAAGGAAUUAAGCCAUCAGUUUUUGAGAACAGUCGAAGCAAACAGAAGUAUUGAAGCACUACACAAUAGAAAGAAGAAGUGUUCUACAUUGAAGAUCCAAUCAACACUCUUCAAGAUCGUAGUGUUAACUCUACCAGUCAAUGAGCAACACUCAACAAGACACUACGAUCAGGUCCUUGAAGACGUGCAUCAGAAUCGUAGAGUUCGAAUAGCUGAAGACUGAAGCAUUGGCAAAGGUUCAAUCUGAACGGUAAUAUUCAGAUAAGUGCUUAUUGAGAGCAUAGAUGCAAUAGGACAACCUCUGAUCGAAAAAUCAGAAAGAGGUAAUAAAGUCUUCGACCUGCCCAAGACAUUAAAGUGAUACAUCUGACAGGGCAGGUGAAACAGUAGACUGUAGCAUCAGAAAAAGUAUGACAUUUGACAUCAAGCAGUCUACCUCAAGCAACUCGAGAUCUGUGAAGAGAUUUGAAUAGCCUUCAACGGCUACUUUCCAACGAAAGAAUUGGGAAGAAGUAUAAAUGAGAAAGAGCUUUAAAGAUCAAAGUGAGCUGGAGUUGUCGGUUUUGGAGAGAAGGUGGACUGAUCUAAACUAUGUGAGAUAGUGAGUCCGAAGGCUCACUCUACGAUCCACCAAGAACACUCAGAGACAUGCAAAGUAAGAAGUAGAAGUGAGAGUUCUACAAUGUAGAAGUGAGAGUUCUACUACUUAAAAAGUGUUCUGAACUGCCGAGAGAAAGAAGAGCAUCAUGUCAUCUUGAUGUCCAUCAUGGGAAGACUCUAAAUACAAUAGAGAAGAGCCUAUAGUCAUCUUAGCAAGUCCAUCAUGAGAAGGCAUCAAGUAGCAAGAAGGGAGAUCACAUAUGUCAUCUUGGUGUCAAGCAUGAGAAAGAUUCUAAGUACCUAACAGAAGAGCUUACAGUCAUCUUAGAAGCCUAUCAUGUGCAGCCAUCAAGUACCAAGGAGAAGGAUCUUCAAGGCAGUUCAUCAAGGGGUCAUCCGAAGUGGUUGAGCAACUGAAGAAGCUGAGCAUCAUGCAACACUCAGUUGGACUUCAAGGAUGAUCAAGUCAAGCUGCUAAGUAUAGAAGAUGUUCAGAGCAUGAAGACAUCUUAGCAGCUCAGCACCGACUCCAACAACAACAAACAAACAACUCAACAAAGCCAAGGCCUGAGGGGUCCUUGUCCGGAGGGACUAAAUGAAGCAGGGCUAGAAGGGUCCUUGUCCGAAGGGGCUAAACGAAGUUUCAAGCCUGCUGGGCUUGAAGAGUUCCUAGGGAACUAGAGAAGUUCCAAGGCUGCUGGCCUUGAAGAGUUCUUAGUGAACUGAAGUCCCAAGGCUGCUGGCCUUGAAGGAAUCUUAGUGAUUCAGGGUGCUGCCCUUCCUUAGUGGAAUUCCUGCUAGUUGAAAGCAGAAGAGUGGAUUAGGAGCUUGUGUCUCUGAACCACUUAAAACCCCUUGUGUCUUUUACAUUAUGUCAUUUACAUUAUGUACUAUAACUGCUAUAACUGCUAUGUAUAUUUUAACUGCUUACAACUAAACUUACUCAACGAACAAUGUAUGUAUGAUUAUGAAUAUAUCAAUGAAG
rnacentral:lncRNA from 1 species